GGAAUCUUGCACAAUGGAGGAAACUCUGAUGCAGCGAUGCCGCGUGAGUGAAGAAGGCCUUUGGGUUGUAAAGCUCUUUUGUAGGGGAAGAUAAUGACUGUACCCUAAGAAUAAGGUCCGGCUAACUUCGUGCCAGCAGCCGCGGUAAUACGAAGGGACCUAGCGUAGUUCGGAAUUACUGGGCGUAAAGCGCGCGUAGGCCGUUGAGUUAGUUAAUUGUGAAAUCCCAAAGCUUAACUUUGGAACUGCAAUUAAAACUGCUCGACUAGAGUUUGAUAGAGGAAAGCGGAAUACAUAGUGUAGAGGUGAAAUUCGUAGAUAUUAUGUAGAACACCAGUUGCGAAGGCGGCUUUCUGGAUCAACACUGACGCUGAGGCGCGAAAGUAUGGGUAGCAAGGAGGAUUAGAUACCCUCGUAGUCCAUACCAUAAACGAUGAUUGCUAGAUGUUGGAAAUUUAUUUUCAGUAUCGCAGCUAACGCAUUAAGCAAUCCGCCUGGGGAGUACGACCGCAAGGUUAAAACUCAAAUGAAUUGACGG
rnacentral:rRNA from 1 species